rnacentral:rRNA from 1 species
AGAGUUUGAUCAUGGCUCAGAACGAACGCUGGCGGCAGGCUUAACACAUGCAAGUCGAACGAACUCUUCGGAGUUAGUGGCAGACGGGUGAGUAACGCGUGGGAACCUACCUUUAGGUACGGAACAACAGUUGGAAACGACUGCUAAUACCGUAUGUGCCCUAUGGGGGAAAGAUUUAUCGCCUUUGGAUUAGCCCGCGUUAGAUUAGCUUGUUGGUGAGGUAAAAGCUCACCAAGGCGACGAUCUAUAGCUGGUCUGAGAGGAUGAUCAGCCACACUGGGACUGAGACACGGCCCAGACUCCUACGGGAGGCAGCAGUGGGGAAUAUUGGACAAUGGGGGCAACCCUGAUCCAGCCAUGCCGCGUGAGUGAUGAAGGCCCUAGGGUUGUAAAGCUCUUUCAGCGAGGAGGAUAAUGACGUUACUCGCAGAAGAAGCCCCGGCUAACUUCGUGCCAGCCGCCGCGGUAAUAC